AGUGAACGCUGGCGGUAGGCCUAACACAUGCAAGUCGAACGGCAGCACAGUAAGAGCUUGCUCUUACGGGUGGCGAGUGGCGGACGGGUGAGGAAUACAUCGGAAUCUACUUUUUCGUGGGGGAUAACGUAGGGAAACUUACGCUAAUACCGCAUACGACCUACGGGUGAAAGCAGGGGAUCUUCGGACCUUGCGCGAUUGAAUGAGCCGAUGUCGGAUUAGCUAGUUGGCGGGGUAAAGGCCCACCAAGGCGACGAUCCGUAGCUGGUCUGAGAGGAUGAUCAGCCACACUGGAACUGAGAAACGGUCCAGACUCCUACGGGAGGCAGCAGUGGGGAAUAUUGGACAAUGGGCGCAAGCCUGAUCCAGCCAUACCGCGUGGGUGAAGAAGGCCUUCGGGUUGUAAAGCCCUUUUGUUGGGAAAGAAAAGCAGCAGGUUAAUACCCCGCUGUUCUGACGGUACCCAAAGAAUGAGCACCGGCUAACUUCGUG
rnacentral:rRNA from 1 species